GAUGAACGCUGGCGGCGUGCCUAAUACAUGCAAGUCGAGCGAACAGACGAGGAGCUUGCUCCUCCGACGUUAGCGGCGGACGGGAGAGUAACACGUGGAUAACCUACCUAUAAGACUGGGAUAACUUCGGGAAACCGGAGCUAAUACCGGAUAAUAUAUUGAACCGCAUGGUGCAAUAGUGAAAGACGGUUUUGCUGUCACUUAUAGAUGGAUCCGCGCCGCAUUCGCUAGUUGGUAAGGUAACGGCUUACCAAGGCGACGAUGCGUAGCCGUCCUCAGAGGGUGGUUGCCCACACUGUCUCUGAGACUCAGUCCAGACUCCUACAGGAGGCCACGGUCGGGACUCCUCCGCAAUGGGCGAGUGCCUGACAGUGCAACGCCGCCUAAGUGCUGAAGGUCUUCGGCUCGUAGAACUCUGUUAUUAGGGAAGUACAAAUGUGUAAUUAACUAUGCACAUCUUGACGGUACCUGAUCAGAAAGCCACGGCUAACUCCGUG
rnacentral:rRNA from 1 species